ensembl:lncRNA mucin-17-like
CUAGUUCUACCUUGGUAUCUGUAUCAACGGGUCCAACUGAAUCAGUUACACCAACCGCUGCAGAGACCACUUUGCCAACUGAACCUACAGGUUCUACAGAUACAGUAACAACUGAGCCUACCGGUACCACCUCAGAAUCUCAAUCAACCAGUCAAACUGAUGCAGCAACAUCCGAGCCUGCUGGUUCUACCUUGGUAUCUGUAUCAACGGGUCCAACUGAAUCAGUUACACCAACCGCUGCAGAGACCACUUUGCCAACUGAACCUACAGGUUCUACAGAUACAGUAACAACUGAGCCUACCGGUACCACCUCAGAAUCUCAAUCAACCAGUCAAACUGAUGCAGCAACAUCCGAGCCUGCUAGUUCUACCUUGGUAUCUGUAUCAACGGGUCCAACUGAAUCAGUUACACCAACCGCUGCAGAGACCACUUUGCCAACUGAACCUACAGGUUCUACAGAUACAGUAACAACUGAGUCCUACCGGUACCACCUCAGAAUCUCAAUCAACCAGUCAAACUGAUGCAGCAACAUCCGAGCCUGCUGGUUCUACCUUGGUAUCUGUAUCAACGGGUCCAACUGAAUCAGUUACACCAACCGCUGCAGAGACCACUUUGCCAACUGAACCUACAGGUUCUACAGAUACAGUAACAACUGAGCCUACCGGUACCACCUCAGAAUCUCAAUCAACCAGUCAAACUGAUGCAGCAACAUCCGAGCCUGCUAGUUCUACCUUGGUAUCUGAACCAUCCACAACACAAACAACUACACAACCACCCAUACCAUCAACCAAACCAUCAACUGACCCACCAACCACAUCACCAACACCACCAACUACCACAGCAACAACUCAAACAACCAUUCGACCAAUCAUCACAGUGGAGCCCCUUGUUUGCCAAAAUGGGGGACACUUCAAUGGCUCCAUCUGCAUAUGUCUUGGUGGAUAUAAUGGAAUCUAUUGUGAAUUUGUUGACACUAUUGAGCCAGAUAUAUUUAACAGGUCAGUCAUUGUUAAUGUGGUGAUCGAUCAGGAAUUCAAUACAAAAUAUGAAGACAAAACGUCACCUGAAUACAAAACCUUUGUUGGAGAUUUCACCGACCAGAUGGAAACAUAUUACCAUGGAAAGAACCUAUCAAACUUUAAAGAAGUGGUGGUAACUAGUGUGAGCCGUGGAGCCACUUUGGUCAAAUUAUCAGAUAACACUGUGGAAGAGAUGAGAUUAUCAUCUGAAGUUAUACCUAUCUACAGUAUCGCACCAAGAGCAGAAGGUGUUAGCGUCACACAUGAAGUGGUUUUGGCAAUUCCAAACAACGUCAACUCUGACCUUGUAUAUGACGAUGACUUUAACGCAGUUGAGGAUGCUCUUCAAGGGCUUAUUGACUGCGAAAGUAAGACAGAAAAUCAGUAUUUUUCUUUCAUAAUCAUAUACAGAAUGCACUGCUAGCAAACCAUGAGAUCAGAACUAUAUUCUUUCAAAUAUAUAAGAGUUUUAUCACAUUGUGGUAUACAUACAUUGAAUAGAAUGUCAUUUUUUGUCUUGUGAAUUUUUUCAGAUUGUCCUUUCACCGUCAUAGCUCCGCCCAUACUUAAUAAAACAGAGGUGGAUUUGCAAUGUAAGUAUUACUGCACCGUGUGUACGUGCUUUUCAUCAUUGUGAUCUGUGUUUCAAAUAUCAACAGAGAGUUGAGGUAAAUUUGUGGGCGGUACCGGGCGAUU